rnacentral:rRNA from 1 species
UGAACGCUGGCGGCAUGCCUUACACAUGCAAGUCGAACGGUAACAGGUUAAGCUGACGAGUGGCGAACGGGUGAGUAAUGUAUCGGAACGUGCCCAGUCGUGGGGGAUAACUGCUCGAAAGAGCAGCUAAUACCGCAUACGACCUGAGGGUGAAAGCGGGGGAUCGCAAGACCUCGCGCGAUUGGAGCGGCCGAUAUCAGAUUAGGUAGUUGGUGAGGUAAAGGCUCACCAAGCCGACGAUCUGUAGCUGGUCUGAGAGGACGACCAGCCACACUGGGACUGAGACAC